rnacentral:tRNA from 1 species
GGGUGCAUAGCUCAGCUGGAUAGAGCAACGCCCUUCUAACAGGGGGUCACAGGUUCGAGCCCUGUUGGUCCCACCA